GGGGGUGUGGCUCAGUUGGUAGGUUCGCUUUGCAGCUUCUCAACUGCGAAAAGUCCCGAGUUCGAUUCUUAGCUCCUCCA